AGAGUUUGAUCAUGGCUCAGGAUGAACGCUAGCGGCAGGCUUAACACAUGCAAGUCGAGGGGCAGCGAGAUGUAGCAAUACAUUGUCGGCGACCGGCGCACGGGUGCGUAACGCGUAUGCAACCUACCAUAUACAGGAGGAUAACCAUUCGAAAGAAUGCCUAAUACUCCAUAGUAUUAUAAUGAGGCAUCUCAUAAUAAUUAAAGAAUUUCGGUAUAUGCUGGGCAUGCGUGACAUUAGCUAGUUGGAGAGGUAACGGCUCACCAAGGCUACGAUGUCUAGGGGUUUUGAGAGGAAGAUCCCCCACACUGGUACUGAGACACGGACCAGACUCCUACGGGAGGCAGCAGUGAGGAAUAUUGGUCAAUGGACGGAAGUCUGAACCAGCCAUGCCGCGUGAAGGAAGACGGCCCUACGGGUUGUAAACUUCUUUUAUACGGGGAUAAACCUAUCUUUGCGAAGAUAGCUGAAGGUACCGUAUGAAUAAGCAUCGGCUAACUCCGUGCCAGCAGCCGCGGUAAUACGGAGGAUGCGAGCGUUAUCCGGAUUUAUUGGGUUUAAAGGGUGCGUAGGCGGACAAAUAAGUCAGUGGUGAAAUCACUCAGCUUAACUGAGUAACUGCCAUUGAUACUGUUAGUCUAGAAUGUAAAUGAAGUAGGCGGAAUGAAUCAUGUAGAGGUGACAUUCAUAGAUAUGAUUCAGAACACCGAUCGCGAAGGCAGCUUGCUAAGAUACAAUUGACGCUGAGGCACGAAAGCGUGGGUAGCAAACAGGAUUAGAUACCCUGGUAGUCCACGCUGUAAACGAUGAUAACUCGUUGUCGGCGAUACACAGUCGGUGACUGAGCGAAAGCGAUAAGUUAUCCACCUGGGGAGUACGAUCGCAAGGUUGAAACUCAAAGGAAUUGACGGGGGCCCGCACAAGCGGAGGAGCAUGUGGUUUAAUUCGAUGAUACGCGAGGAACCUUACCUAGACUUGAACGUAUUUGGCAUAAUUUAGAAAUAGAUUAGUUAGUAAUAACCAUUUACGAGGUGCUGCAUGGUUGUCGUCAGCUCGUGCCGUGAGGUGUCAGGUUAAGUCCUAUAACGAGCGCAACCCCUACACUUAGUUGCCAGCAUGUAAAGAUGGGGACUCUAAGUGGACUGCCAGCGCAAGCUGCGAGGAAGGUGGGGAUGACGUCAAAUCAGCACGGCCCUUACGUCUAGGGCGACACACGUGCUACAAUGGCCGGUACAGAGGGCAGCUACAUAGCGAUAUGAUGCUAAUCUCAAAAGCCGGUCUCGGUUCGGAUCGGAGUCUGCAACCCGACUCCGUGAAGUUGGAUUCGCUAGUAAUCGCAGAUCAGCCAUGCUGCGGUGAAUACGUUCCCGGGCCUUGUACACACCGCCCGUCAAGCCAUGGAAGCUGGGGGUACCUGAAGUUCGUGACCGCAAGGAGCGACCUAGGGUAAAACUAGUAACUAGGGCUAAGUCGUAACAAGGUAACCG
rnacentral:rRNA from 1 species